UACGAAGGGGGCUAGCGUUGCUCGGAAUUACUGGGCGUAAAGCGCACGUAGGUGGCCAACUAAGUCAGACGUGAAAUCCCUCGGCUUAACCGGGGAACUGCAUCUGAUACUGACAGUCUCGAGGGAGGUAGGGGCGUGCGGAACUUCCGGUGGAGCGGUGAAAUGCGUAGAUAUCGGGAGGAACACCGGUGGCGAAGGCGGCAUCCUGGACCGACACUGACGCUGAGGAGCGAAAGCCAGGGGAGCAAACAGG
rnacentral:rRNA from 1 species